AGAGUUUGAUUCUGGCUCAGAACGAACGCUGGCAGCGUGGAUUAGGCAUGCAAGUCGAACGGGAAUUCGUGGUUUCAAGUUUUCGGACGAGAAACUGCGGAGGACAGUGGCGGAAGGGUGAGGAACACGUGGGUAAUCUACCUUGAAGUUGGGGAUAACCCCGCGAAAGCGGGGCUAAUACCGAAUGUGUUCGUGCCGCGCCUGCGGCACUGAAUAAAGGUGGGGAUUCUGCCUUCGGGUGGAACCUGUCGCUUUUAGAUGAGCCCGCGUCCCAUCAGCUUGUUGGCGGGGUAACGGCCCAUCAAGGCUUACGGGUAGCUGGUCUGAGAGGAUGGUCAGCCACACUGGGACUGAGACACUGCCCAGACUCCUACGGGAGGCUGCAGUCGAGGAUCAUUGUCAAUGCGCGAAAGCGUGAACAUGCGACGCUGCGUGGAGGAUGACGGCCUUCGGGUUGUAAACUCCUGUCAUGGGGGAACAACUGUUCGGGUGUUAACACCGCCCGGACUUGAUGGUACCUCAAGAGGAAGCCACGGCUAACUCUGUGCCAGCAGCCGCGGUAAUACAGAGGUGGCGAGCGUUGUUCGGAUUUACUGGGCGUAAAGCGUGCGUAGGUGGUCUCGUAUGUCGGAUGUGAAAGCCCACGGCUUAACCAUGGAAAUGCAUUCGAAACUGCGGGGCUUGAGUACAGGAGGGGAGAGCGGAAUUCUUGGUGUAGCGGUGAAAUGCGUUGAUAUCAAGAAGAACACCUUGGCGAAGGCGGCUCUCUGGAAUGUUACUGACACUGAGGCACGAAAGCUGGGGGAGCAAACAGGAUUAGAUACCCUGGUAGUCCCAGCCGUAAACUGUGUGCACUUGGUGUGGGGAGUAUUGACCCUCUCCGUGCCGGAGCUAACGCGUUAAGUGCACCGCCUGGGGAGUACGGCCGCAAGGCUAAAACUCAAAGAAAUUGACGGGGGCCCGCACAAGCGGAGGAGCAUGUGGCUUAAUUCGAUGCAACGCGAAGAACCUUACCAGGGCUUGACAUGCAGCUGCAAGCCCGGCGAAAGUCGGGCCGCCUUCGAGGGUGCUGCACAGGUGCUGCAUGGCUGUCGUCAGUUCGUGCCGUGAGGUGUUGGGUUAAGUCCCGCAACGAACGCAACCCUUGUGUCUAGUUGCCACCGCAGGUGAUGAGCCUGCGAGCACUCUAGACAGACUGCCCGUACAAGCGGGAGGAAGGUGGGGACGACGUCAAGUCAGUAUGGCCCUUACGUCCUGGGCUGCACACGUGCUACAAUGGUCGGUACAGAGGGACGCAAGACCGCGAGGUGGAGCAAAUCCCAAAAGCCGGCCCCAGUUCGGAUUGGAGUCUGCAAUUCGACUCCAUGAAGUUGGAUUCGCUAGUAACGGCGCAUCAGCUACGGCGCCGUGAAUGCGUUCCCGGGCCUUGUACACACCGCCCGUCACAUCAUGAAAGCCGUCUGCACCCGAAGUCGCUGAGCCAAUCCCGCUUCGGUGGGAAAGCAGGUGCCGAAGGUGUUGGUGGUGAUUGGGAUGAAGUCGGAACAAGGUA
rnacentral:rRNA from 1 species